rnacentral:rRNA from 1 species
UACGAGGGGGGCGAGCGUUGUUCGGAAUUAUUGGGCGUAAAGGGUGCGUAGGCGGUUCCGCAAGUCCUGUGUGAAAUCUUCGGGCUCAACUCGAAGUCUGCACGGGAAACUGCGGGGCUUGAGUGUGGGAGAGGUGAGUGGAAUUCCCGGUGUAGCGGUGAAAUGCGUAGAUAUUGGGAAGAACACCGGUGGCGAAGGCGGCGACCUGGUCCUUGACUGACGCUGAGGCGCGAAAGCGUGGGGAGCAAACAGG